GUUAUUUAUUUUAUUUUUUGUUUUUAGUAAUAAAAAUAUCAUUUAUAAUAUAUUAAUUUUAAAUCUUUUCAAAAAUAUAAAAUAACAUUUUUCUAUUAAAAGUUAUUUAUGAAGCAAUAAUAAAAUUAGUACAAAUACUUAUUGAAUUACAAGCAUUUUAAUACCUACUGUGAUCAUGUAGCGUAACUGAAGUAUUCAUGAUAAAUAUACACCAGUACAAUUAUUACUCACUCAUCCUACAUACUUUUUUUAUGCACCAAAAUGCUUGUAGCUCAAUAAGUUCUAGUUCUAAUAUUGUUAUUAAGACAUGUUCCACCCGAAUACUAUAUAAAACAUAUGCUACUGUUAUAUUUUACAUAAACAAUUUGAUAGAUGUGACCCAAUGAAGAAUGAAUCUAAAUACUUGAUUUUAAAUAUACAUUAUUAUCUAAAACAACCUUUUAUACAAAAAAUAUAAACAAAAUAUUACAUUUUUUCUCCCUAAUAAUAUUGUAGUAUAUUGUUUUAACUCUAUAAAAUAAUUGAUAAUAAGUUAUAGCUUCAAUACGAAGCUGAGAAGUUUUUUAUUUUACUAUGAUGUGUUUUUUUUUAUUAUUAUUAUUUUUUUUUGUGUGUGUGUGUGUGUGUGUGUCUGUUACCACUUAACCUCAGCUCUCACUGGACCGAUUCUUAUGAAUAAUACGUCCAAAGAUCACAAAUCGUAUCUAGUCGAAGACAUUACCCUUAAAAAUUGAAAUACAUUCCCUCGUUCCCCGCAAAUGGGGGAAAUAUCCAAAAAAAUUACAAAUUUAAAAAUCGCUAAUUUUCGAAAUUUUUUCACUUUUUUUUCUUUUAAAUAUGCUAUAUUUGUGAUAAAAUUCUGAGUUUUGUAUUUUAUUUUAUUUUAAAAUACCUGACAAGGGGAGUACACUUAUUUUCAUAAAUAUUAUAUAAAUCAAAUUAAUAUUUCAUUCGACCGAAGCGAAGUACAGUUGCCGAGUCGGAAACACUUGUGUCUUAUGCGUUUAGGGUUCAAGGUUCCAACCCGCGUAUGGUUAGGAAUUUUUUGUGACUAUCAUUUAUUUUGUUUGCUAACAUGUUGCUAUAUAAAUAAUUUCUAAAAAUAUGAUUGUUAAUUUCUUCUGAAUUAACAAUGGAUUUUUACAAUUAUAAUCAAAUUUUAUAAUAUGCUCUUUUGAGUAGAUCUUUUAACAACUUUUUUUGAUUGGUUUUUUUAGUUAAAGUAAAUCAUUAAAAUUAAUUCAGUUAAUAAAGCAUUUAUAGAAUCUUUUUAAACACCAAAAGUUACUAGGAAAUGAUUACUAUUAUUUCUAUUUAAGUUAUCUAUUACUAUAAAAAUCCAAAAAAAUAUUGAUUUUUUCUGAUAAAUUUACUAUAAAUAGUAAUCAUAAAAUUUCUUGACUGCAUAUUAAUCUUAACAAUACAAUUUUUUUUAAUUCUUAUAAAAUUUUCUAUUUAUUGAUGUCAAUUUCAAAGUUGCAAGUUGAGCUAAAAGUUAUUAUAAUAACUAAAAAUAAAGUUAAUACCAUCACCGUAAAGACAUUAUAAAUAAAAGUACUUUGUUUCUAGUUAUUACUUGAUUAGUGUAGUUAAUGUGUUUAAACUACUCUUACCUGAUAUAUCUUGGCUGCAAAUCAAGUUCCACGGUGUAGAGAGGAGAAGAAGUGAUUUAGACUUAUUAGAUAUUAAAUAAGAAGAAAAAUAGUUUGUUAUUAAGAAUGAAGACACUAAGUCACAAUAUAAAAUAGAUAAAAAGCUGCAAAGUAAAAUGGAGCAAAGCCGAGCACUUAAGUCUGAACGCCAGAAGAAAAAAAAAAGAAGUGACUCUUUGACGGAUGUCAAAUGACUGAUCAGAUCCCAGAGGGCUCUUAGGUCUGUUAUAAUAAAUCAUAGUAAUAAAAUUUUAUGUGAUAAUAUAAGUCACUUAAUUGAAAGAAAGGUGUCCUUUACAACGCGUUACGAGGAAUGAUUUGUAUUGUAUCAUUGUUUGUGUAGGAUAUGUAAACAAACAAUGACAAGUAAUGUGUUGUAUAUUGCUAAUCCAUACGCGAAACUGUAUGAGUUCAUUUAUGGCUUAUUCGGCAAGGACCAUACAAACAAAAUUAAACUAUUACACGCCUCAACGGCGUCGCUAUGUUAUUGGUAAUCGUUGAUGAGAUGUAAGAAUUUAAUUAAGUAACAAAAGGAUAUUACAUUAUGAUAAUAAAUACAUUUUUUUUUAUUAUAAACUUUCACAAAAAUGAACUUUAAAGGAUUAAAAAAAUAGGUUAAAUAUGUCAUUUUCCUUAUUUUUAAUAUAUUAAAAAUCAAAAUCCGUAUUAAUUUAAAACAAUAAUUUUUUUAUAUGUAAUUACUUAUUUUUUAAUAAUAAGUAAUAAUAUUAAAACUUAGAAGUGAUAGAAAAAGUCUAAUUACACAUUUGAAAACUGUGCAAAAAGUUGAUUUAGAAAAGUAUAUUUUUGUUUCUAAUGAAAGUUCCUUGUAGUCCAGUGUAUAAAACUUAUAACUUUGUUAUAAUAAACAAAAAAAUUUUAUUGAAAAGUAUUGCAUCAAGCCCUUUAAAUUUUUAUACGCAUUAAAAGUAAAGAAAUAUACAACUACUUUAUUAUUUUUAUAAUAUCUCCGUAAAAAUUACAAUAUUAAAUUAUUGAAUAUCAAUUUCAUACUAAAUUUAAUUACUUUAAUUAUUAUUUAUUCAUAUAUUAUAAUAAUAAAUCAAAUAACUAAUCGGAAUAAAAUUAAGGGAAUAAGAGUUAUUGUUGCUUUUGAAAUAUUCUACCAAUUUCUUAAAAUUAAACACUAUCUACAGAUUUGCAUCGAAGCAUUUCUUAUGAUAGUGAUUUUAAUCAUUGUCAGAAAUCAUCUAUACUUGUCCCAACUAUACCACAUCCAUACUGUGUCGUGACUACUGUGCUUAGUGACGUGAUAUCGAAAGAAAAGUAUUGAUACUUUUACUUGGUAUCGAAUCGAAUUAAAAUACCGAUAUGAGUAAAAUAUCGAAACAAAUGGACCGAUAUGAGUAAGUAUCGAUAGCUGGAUACAAGUAUACUGUAUACAACGUUGCAAACUGCAGGCUUUAGUUUUCAUUUAUUUUAGGGUGACCAUACGUCCUGUUAUAUACAGGUUGUCCUUUAUUUUAGUGUUGUAUCCUGUCGUCCUGAUGACCGUCUCUCAAAACGCUUUUUGUCCUGUUUUCUAAUUAUUUUAAUAAGUUACAAAGAUGUAUAUUAUAUUAUAUACAUACAUUAUAGGUAUAUUAUUACAUAACUCGAUAUACCCCAAAUUAUCAAAUUUAAUAAGUUCUUCAGAAAAAGAAUACGAAUCAAAAUGCAACCAAAAAAAAAAUUAUUAUUAAUGUAAAUGAAAAAGUUUGUUAAUUUAUUAUUAUUAAUUUUUUAUGUAUUAGUUUUAUGACUGCUUUAUAGGAACAGAAAUAAUGUUAAACACAUAUUAAAUGCUUUUAGGUAUAUUAAAUUAAGUUUUUUAUUAUGAUUUAAAAUAAACAAAAUAAUCAAAAACAUAAUAGUGAAACUAUUUAUGUACAAUACAAAAUACAAAUUAUAUAAUAUUAUUCAAAAAUUUAUUUUUUAUAACUUAAAACCAUUGAUCUUUGAGUAGAUCUGCAAAGAGUAAAUUUUUUUCUAAACGAGAACCUGUUAGACGGUUUCUUGUUUUUGUCAUAAUUUUUCCGGCUUUUAAAAACAGUCUUUCGCAUGGAACCGAUGUUACAACCAUAGUGAAAGAUAUCCUUGAUUGUUUAUAUAACAUGGGAAAGACUGUUUUCAUAUCUUCCCAAAGUUCUAAAGGAUUUGACUUCAGUGGAGACACGGGGUUUUCUAUGGUGAGCCCAAAUAACAUAACUCUCCACAUUUUCUUUAGAUGUUGUCAUUUCUCCUUCUGAUUCGCUAGAUGAUAUAUCUGGUUUUGAUAGUCUUCGAAGUUCUGCCAUUGCACUUGAACUAGCAAUUGGAUCGCUAAAGUAAAGAUUUUUGAUUCUUGGAUCCAAAAUUGUGGCAAUAGCAAUCGGGUUUACUUACUUAAUCAGUCUAAAUCUUCUAAUUAUUUCCGUAUAAUACGAAAAUAAUUUGACUUAUCUUUAAUUUCGAUCAACACAUCAAAUCUUGGUUGAAUUUGGGCCAGUUGUAUUAAUAGGCAGUUAAUCACGGGGAUCACUUUUGAGAUAGUAAUAUAAUUUUCUCCAGAGGAUUCUUUUGUGACAUACUUUAAUGGUUGUAAUAAUUCAAUUAAUUGUCGGAGGAUAUCUAUUUCUAUGGCGGUUGGCUUACUAGGUGCAGUUAUAUCAUUGAGUAACAUUGCACUAAGAAAAGACACCAUUUCUAUAAAUCUACUUAUCAUAAAAAAAACAGAAUUCCACCUUGUUUGAACAUCUAAUAUUAAUUUUUUAAAUUAUCCUUCAGGAACUCCAGCUUCAGACUGUUUUCUUCUCAAUUGAUCACUGUGGAUGACGCUGUUUUUCACCUAAUUUACAAUUUCUCUUACUUUGGAAAUUAUAGGUUUUAUAUUUUUUUGACCAACUGUAUGUGUUGACACUUGGUUAAUGGUAUGUGCAAAGCAUGGGGUAUGCCUACUCUUGCCGAAUGUUUUAUUAACGGCAGCAACUACAUUUGCGACAUUGUCCGUUACAACAGUAACAAUUUUACUUUUAUCAAUUUGCCAGUCUAAAAGAAUUUUAUCUAGAAUCUAACUGAUAUAUUGGCCAGAAUGUCUUUCCUUCAGUUCUGCAACUGCUAAACAAUGUGAUUUGAUAGAUAUAUCCUUGAGGUAGUGUACUAUCACACCAAGGAAACUUUUUUCAUUCAUCGUCUCAGUCCAUGAAUCCAAUGUAAUACACACGUGUGGUGCUGCCAACAAACAACCUUUUAAUAUUUCUUUUGUGACCUCAUAUUUAUUAUCAAGAGCAUUUUUCAACGUUGUAACCGAAGGAAUUUGAUAUGACGUCAAAACAGGAUUAAUUACAGGUAUCGAAGCUAAUUUCAUUUGUUGACAAG